rnacentral:rRNA from 1 species
GACGAACCGUGCAAACGUUGUUCGGAAUCACUGGGCUUAAAGGGCGCGUAGGCGGAUGCAUCAGUCAGGGGUGAAAUCCCACGGCUCAACCGUGGAAGUGCCUUUGAGACGGUGUGUCUAGAGGGAGGUAGGGGCGUGCGGAACUUCCGGUGGAGCGGUGAAAUGCGUAGAUAUCGAGAGGAACACCUGCGGCGAAGGCGGGUUGCUGGGCUGACACUGACGCUGAGGCGCGAAAGCUAGGGGAGCGAACGGG